rnacentral:rRNA from 1 species
GAUGAACGCUGGCGGCGUGCCUAAUACAUGCAAGUCGAGCGAACAGAUGAGGAGCUUGCUCCUCUGACGUUAGCGGCGGACGGGUGAGUAACACGUGGAUAACCUACCUAUAAGACUGGGAUAACUUCGGGAAACCGGAGCUAAUACCGGAUAAUAUAUUGAACCGCAUGGUUCAAUAGUGAAAGACGGUUUUGCUGUCACCUAUAGAUGGAUCCGCGCCGCAUUAGCUAGUUGGUAAGGUAACGGCUUACCAAGGCAACGAUGCGUAGCCGAACUUAGAGGGUGAUCGGCCACACUGGAACUGAGACACGGUCCAGACUCCUACGGGAGGCAGCAGUAGGGAAUCUUCCGCAAUGGGCGAAAGCCUGACGGAGCAACGCCGCGUGAGUGAUGAAGGUCUUCGGAUCGUAAAACUCUGUUAUUAGGGAAGAACAAAUGUGUAAGUAACUAUGCACGUCUUGACGGUACCUAAUCAGAAAGCCACGGCUAACUACGUG